rnacentral:rRNA from 1 species
AACGAACGCUGGCAGCAUGCCUAACACAUGCAAGUCGAACGAGACCUUCGGGUCUAGUGGCGCACGGGUGCGUAACGCGUGGGAACCUGCCCUUAGGUUCGGAAUAACUCCCCGAAAGGGGUGCUAAUACCGGAUAAUGUCUUCGGACCAAAGAUUUAUCGCCUUUGGAUGGGCCCGCGUUGGAUUGGCUAGUUGGUAGGGUAAAAGCCUACCAAGGCGACGAUCCAUAGCUGGUCCGAGAGGAUGAUCAGCCACACUGGGACUGAGACACGGCCCAGACUCCUACGGGAGGCAGCAGUGGGGAAUAUUGGACAAUGGGCGAAAGCCUGAUCCAGCAAUGCCGCGGGAGUGAUGAAGGCCUUAGGGUUGUAAAGCUCUUUUACCCGGGAUGAUAAUGACAGUACCGGGAGAAUAAGCUCCGGCUAACUCCGUG